rnacentral:rRNA from 1 species
AGUUUGAUCAGUGGCUCGAGGACGAACGCUGGCGGCGUGCUUAACACAUGCAAGUCGAACGGUGACGAGGAGCUUGCUCCUCCGAUCAGUGGCGAACAGGUGAGUAACACGUGAGCAACCUGCCCCAGACUCUGGGAUAACAGUUGGAAACAGCUGCUAAUACCGGAUACGAGACGGAGAGGCAUCUCUACCGUCUGGAAAGUUUUUCGGUCUGGGAUGGACUCGCGGCCUAUCAGCUAGUUGGUGAGGUAAUGGCUCACCAAGGCGACGACGGGUAGCCGGCCUGAGAGGGCGACCGGCCACACUGGGACUGAGACACGGCCCAGACUCCUACGGGAGGCAGCAGUGGGGAAUAUUGCACAAUGGGCGAAAGCCUGAUGCAGCGACGCCGCGUGAGGGAUGACGGCCUUCGGGUUGUAAACCUCUUUCAGCAGGGAAGAAGCGCAAGUGACGGUACCUGCAGAAGAAGCACCGGCUAACUACGUG